rnacentral:rRNA from 1 species
UCCUACGGGAGGCAGCAGUAAGGAAUAUUGGGCAAUGGACGAAAGUCUGACCCAGCCAUGCCGCGUGCAGGAUGACUGCCCUAUGGGUUGUAAACUGCUUUUGUACAGGAAAAAACUUCAGGUCGUGUACCUGGACUGAUGGUACUGUACGAAUAAGCAUCGGCUAACUCCGUGCCAGCAGCCGCGGUAAUACGGAGGAUGCAAGCGUUAUCCGGAUUUAUUGGGUUUAAAGGGUGCGCAGGCGGAAUGGUAAGUCAGUGGUGAAAUCUCCCGGCUCAACCGGGAAACUGCCAUUGAUACUGCUGUUCUUGAGUACAGUUGAAGUGGGCGGAAUGUGUCAUGUAGCGGUGAAGUGCUUAGAUAUGACACAGAACACCGAUAGCGUAGGCAGCUCACUAAGCUGUAACUGACGCUCAUGCACGAAAGCGUGGGGAUCAAACAGGAUUAGAUACCCUGGUAGUCCACGCUGUAAACGAUGAUCACUCGUUGUUGGCGAUAUACUGUCAGCGACUGAGCGAAAGCAUUAAGUGAUCCACCUGGGGAGUACGGCGGCAACGUUGAAACUCAAAUGAAUUGACGG